rnacentral:misc_RNA from 1 species
GGAAGGAUCAUUACCGAGUGCCGGGGCCUAGCCCCGCUCUCCCAUCCCGUGGCGUUAUAAUAAAGGUCAAUGUUGCCUCCGGCACCUCGCCGGGCGGCAGUCUCAAGACUCAGUGGUAGACUUUGUUUCUGAUCGUAUUGAGAAAUCAAACGAAAACUUUCAACAACGGAUCUCUUGGUUCUGGCAUCGAUGAAGAACGCAGCGAAAUGCGAUAAGUAAUGUGAAUUGCAGAAUUCAGUGAAUCAUCGAAUCUUUGAACGCACAUUGCGCCCUUUGGUAUUCCGAGGGGCAUGCCUGUUCGAGCGUCAUUUAGGACCUCAAGCCUCGCUUGGUCUUGGGCGCGGUCUGACCGACCCGCCUGUAACUGUCAGCGGCAACCGUUUGGCCCUUAGGCGUAGCAACACUAUUCGUCUUUAGGGGCUCUCGGGCGGCCGUCUCAAGACUCUGGCCCUCUGGGCCACCAAAGUUUGACCUCGGAUCAGGUAGGGAUACCCGCUGAACUUAAGCAUAUCAAUAAGCGGAGGAAAAGAAACCAACAGGGAUUGCCUCAGUAACGGCGAGUGAAGCGGCAACAGCUCAAAUUUGAAAUCUGGCGCAAGCCCGAAUUGUAAUUUGCAGAGGGAGCCUCGGAGUCGUCCCCGGCCUAAGUCCCUUGGAACAGGGCGUCGCAGAGGGUGAGAGUCCCGUACGCGGCCGGGUGCCUUCUCCGUGUGAGGCCCCUUCGACGAGUCGAGUUGUUUGGGAAUGCAGCUCUAAAUGGGAGGUAAAUUUCUUCUAAAGCUAAAUACCGGCCAGAGACCGAUAGCGCACAAGUAGAGUGAUCGAAAGAUGAAAAGCACUUUGGAAAGAGAGUUAAAAAGUACGUGAAAUUGUUGAAAGGGAAGCGUUUGCAGCCAGACUUGCCGGCAGUUGCUCAACCGGUCUUUGCCCGGUGCACUCUUCUGCCGGUAGGCCAGCAUCAGUUCGGGCGGUCGGAUAAAGGCUUGGGGAACGUGGCUCCUCGGAGUGUUAUAGCCCCUCGCACAAUACGGCCUGUCCGGACUGAGGUCAGCGAUCCAUGGAUGCUGGCGUAAUGGCUGCCAACGGCCCGUCUUGAAACACGGACCAAGGAGUCUAACAUCUAUGCGAGUGUUUGGGUGUCAAGCCCGGGCGCGCAAUGAAAGUGAACGGAGGUGGGAGCAUUCGUGCGCACCAUCGACCGAUCCUGAUGUCUUCGGAAGGAUUUGAGUAAGAGCAUAGCUGUUGGGACCCGAAAGAUGGUGAACUAUGCCUGAAUAGGGUGAAGCCAGAGGAAACUCUGGUGGAGGCUCGCAGCGGUUCUGACGUGCAAAUCGAUCGUCAAAUUUGGGUAUAGGGGCGAAAGACUAAUCGAACCAUCUAGUAGCUGGUUCCUGC